GAGGACACAUUUCGCCACACCUAGUGUGUGUGUGACAAUCAUUGGUACUUUAACUUUAACUUUAACCAUUGUCAGGACCAAACCCAGGUGGUAACAUAAUUAAAAGUGACAUCAGCCUGCUCUCCGACCACAUGGAGCAAGCACAGGAGCUCAUGAGCAGAGUGGAGUCAGAGCGCACCAAGGUUGGCCUCCGGCUGAUUGCCAAGAAAAUGAGCUUGCGCUCUGGCUCCAGCCCCAACCCCGUCUCUCCUCCUGGCUGCUGCUAAUAACAGAGCGACAGGUUCCCGACCCCUGACCUAUAACAUCCACCACCCACAACAACAGGAGGCACUGCUCUGAAGGAAGUCAAUGACUUGAAGUACCAGGGCUCAUGGGUCAACUCAGCAGAGCAGGAUCUAAAAGUGAGGAAGGCACUUGCAUGGAGGGUUCUGAAUGGCGUGGUCACUCUGUGGAACAACAAUCUCCAGCAACACGUGACAAAUAAAACUCAGCUUCUUCUACAAGAUUGUGGAAUCUGUUCUCUUAUAUGGCAGUGACAAAUAAAA